GACGAACGCUGGCGGCGGGCUUAACACAUGCAAGUCGAACGGAAAGGCCCUGCUUUUGUGGGGUGCUCGAGUGGCGAAAGGGUGAGUAACAAGUGAGUAACCUGCCCUUGACUUUGGGAUAACUUCAGGAAACUGGGGCUAAUACCGGAUAGGAGCUCCUGCUGCAUGGGGGGGGUUGGAAAGUUUCGGCGGUUGGGGAUGGACUCGCGGCUUAUCAGCUUGUUGGUGGGGUAGUGGCUUACCAAGGCUUUGACGGGUAGCCGGCCUGAGAGGGUGACCGGCCACAUUGGGACUGAGAUACGGCCCAGACUCCUACGGGAGGCAGCAGUGGGGAAUAUUGCACAAUGGGCGGAAGCCUGAUGCAGCAACGCCGCGUGCGGGAUGACGGCCUUCGGGUUGUAAACCGCUUUCGCCUGUGACGAAGCGUGAGUGACGGUAAUGGGUAAAGAAGCACCGGCUAACUACGUG
rnacentral:rRNA from 1 species